rnacentral:rRNA from 1 species
GAUGAACGCUGGCGGCGUGCCUAAUACAUGCAAGUCGAGCGAACGGACGAUAAGCUUGCUUUUCUGAUGUUAGCGGCGGACGGGUGAGUAACACGUGCAUCACCUACCUAUAAGACUGGGAUAACUUCGGGAAACCGGUGCUACUACCGGAUAAUAUUUUGAACCGCAUGGUUCAAAAGUGAAAGACGGUCUUGCUGUCACUUAUAGAUGGUUCCGCGCUGCAUUAGCUAGUUGGUAAGGUAACGGCUUACCAAGGCAACGAUGCAUAGCCGACCUGAGAGGAUGAUCGGCCACACUGGAACUGAGACACGGUCCAGACUACUACGGGAGGCAGCAGUAGGGAAUCUUCCGCAAUGGGCGAAAGCCUGACGGAGCAACGCCGCGUGAGUGAUGAAGGUCUUCGGAUCGUAAAACUCUGUUAUUAGGGAAGAACAUAAGUGUAAGUAACUGUGCACAUCUUGACGGUACCUAAUCAGAAAGCCACGGCUAACUACGUG